rnacentral:tRNA from 1 species
UAAUAAGAAGCUAUCAGCGUUCAGUUUCGACCUGAAAGACAGGUAAAUUACCCUUAUUAU